rnacentral:lncRNA from 1 species
GGAAUUGGAGGAAGCCAAACAGGCAAAUGGGAGGAUCAGUAAUAAGAUUGCAGCAGAUCAGUAUUCAACAACAAAUCAACCUAGGAGUAGUUUGAAACAAAGCAAAAUUGUCCAACAUCAAAUAGAACUCGAACCAAAGCAAACUAAAAGAACCCAAUAACCUUUUUGUCCCCUAAGGUAACUAAUGGAAUAGUGAGUUUGGGAUUUCAGUGGCCUUGGUUGUGCAGAAUUUAUUUUUAUCCCUCGAAAAGAACCCCUCUCCUAGGCAAACGACUACCAUUUUAUAAGCUAAAGUUAGGGCAACUCUUUUUAUUUUCAAUUACAACCUAAGUACUUCUUUUAGUCUAAGAUUUUGGCCAAUUAGUCCCUUAUUUUAUACCUUUAUAGCCAAGUUAUACCAAAUAAGUCCUAAAUUUCAAAUUGAAACCGUAUCUAGAAGAUUCUAGUGGGUUCCAAGUUAGUUACUGCAUUAUUUUCUAUUUUGAAAUACCCCAAACAACCCUGGACCAAAUCUAUAUUACUAACCUAGGCUAAAGUAAAUUUG